AUUCCACACAGGAAGGUCACACCAUUCCUCACUGUUACAAGGGUGAAGAUCUGAUAGACAUAAAAGUUGAAGUUAAGGCAGAAGAAGAAGAAACGUAUGUGAAGGAUGAUCAACAGUCUAUGGAGGAGGAUGGAAUAAUAA